rnacentral:pre_miRNA from 1 species
GGGAGGAGUGCCGGAUCUUGGGCUGUGUCCCCCAGUGCCCUGGGCUCUGGGGCCUGCACUGCUGGAAUCACGCUUCGGGCAGCGCAGCCCCCU